GUUGGCUCUCCUGAAUACAAUUGCUGCUGUUAAGUUUUCAGUUAAUCAAAUAUGCCCAUUUUCCACGGUAUCUCCUACUCCAACUGAGAGACGUUUUAGGGGCCUGAGCAUUUCCCUGCAUCUCAACCGGCAUUUAUGGUUUCCCAAAUGAGCCUGCUUCCAUCAUUGCCCUCAGCACCAUUAAGGAAUGGCUGUCUAAGAAUCAUCACGAGGUAGGAGGAACAACAAAAUGAGCAAACAUUUAAGAUGGCCUCAUUUGAUCCUCAAUUUCAGAAAAAGCAGAAAAAUAUAUUCAUAAAUAUCAAAUAAACAUAAUCAUUGAG
rnacentral:lncRNA from 1 species